AACGGAGGGUGCGAGCGUUGUUCGGAGUUACUGGGCGUAAAGCGCGUGCAGGUGGUUUUUUAAGUCUUGUGUGAAAGCCCUCGGCUUAACCGAGGAAUUGCGCAGGAAACUGGAAGACUUCGAGUCCGGGAGGAGAGGGCGGAAUUCCCAGUGUAGAGGUGAAAUUCGUAGAUAUUGGGAAGAACACCGGUGGCGAAAGCGGCCUUCUAGAACGGUACUGACACUCAUACGCGAGAGCGUGGGUAGCAAACAGG
rnacentral:rRNA from 1 species